AAAGCAAGAUACAAUCCAUAAAUGAAGAAAAAUUUAUAGGUUGGACUUCAUCAAAAUGGUGAACUGCUGCCCUUUAAAAGACAUAGGAAGAGAAUGAAAAGGCAAACACAGACUGGGAGAAAAUAUUUGCAACCAGGAGUGUUUUGAGUAGGUGGCGAAGAGGGUGAAGCAGUAUCUUGGGAAGGCGUCACCUACCGCAGGCUGUGGGAUGAUUAGGUGCGAGAAGACGCAACAUCCGUGGCAGGAGGUGUGACCCAGAGCCCACGCGGUGUGGAGCGCUGGGGAGGAGCCAGGCAGCUGUGUGGACCCCCGAGCCCCGCAGGAAAUGGGUUUCCUCCAGCCAGAGAGGAAGAGCACUUCCCCCAGCACACCUCGGCUCACACCCGUGCGUGUCCUGUUGCCUCAAGCUGUCUACGUUUCAAGGCACCGACAAUGCACAUGACGCACCCUGACCCUCACGGAUGUCGCUAAGAGCCACUUGCCUCCUUAAGCUGCAGAGAGUUUAGGGGACAUCAGAUAAAGGAAGACAACAUCCCAUUACAAGGUGGACUUUGCCUGGAGACCCCCAGUGCCCAUGAAAGGAGCUGUCCAAGGGGCGGCAGGGACAGAAGCUUCCAGGUAGGUGUCUGAAUCCCUUUGGAAACGUUGGCUGAGACAAACUGAACAUGCCCUCGAGAGGUUUCAUACUCGGGUGUGAAACCCUCGUGGACACGUUUAAGGAAAAUGAAAACCUAAUUCUACCUGUGAUUCCCUCGCCAGCCCCUCUCCCCUUUACAAGGAAAUUACUGUGUUCUGAUGGGAUUUUUGUUUUAAUGGUGAGACAAAACUGCAGUCCUCAUUUUCCAGGGACCCCUGUGGACCUUGAAACGAGGUGUCUCAGGGGACGGUAGAGUCCCAAUGGGUUCUUCAUGUUGGAAUUUUCUGCUUACUUCUGCCGACCCAUUUUUAAUUAAAAAUAACUUUUUUUUUGCCUAUUACUUCCUUCUAUGAUUAGAUUUUUAUGUGUUCAACUUAGAAAGAAGCGUAAAUUCAAGAGACACCAAGAGAAUGAAAAUCGCCAUUACUUAAGAGAUAAUCGUUAUUUACAGCGUGGGGUGUAUUUUUACUCUCACUCCUCACUGCAGAGAUAAACACUUGUUCGAUCUACCGAAAAGGAGAAAAUAGUGGUUU